ACACACCAUCCUGGUUCUCGUGCCUUUCCUGUCCCCUGAGUAUGGCCAUUCCCCAAAGUUCCAUUCUCGAUCUCGGCCCUUUGUUGUUGUCACUCGAUGCUCUCUCCCUCCUGGAACGGAUCCUCUCCCACGGUUCAGCUCUCAACCCUGCGCAUGCACAUGAUCCCCAGAUCCCGGUCUCUGGCUCCUCCCUCCACAUAAGAGACCGUCCGGGUCCUGGGCAUUUCUGCUUCAGUGUCCCACAGCCCUCUCACGUGUCCACGGCCGGACUUCUCUCCCCUCGCCCAAUGUGUCGGUCCAUUGGCCGAGGGGUGGGCUCCAGGUUGACCGCCAGAGAGGAUCAUGGUAGACUGCGGUCAGUUUCCUCAUCUGUAAAAGGAGGUGAUGUGACUCCCUGGCCGUUGAGGUCCUCCCAGCUCUAAAUGGAUGAUCCCGCGAUGCCCUGUGGACGUCCUGCCUUUCCAGGUCCUCACUGAGCCCCUCAGCUCCCGUGAUCUCUCAGCUAUGGCCAGGAAAGAAAGGCAGAACUUCAGGCACCCGGCAAGCCCCGGUACUGGAUCGCUAGAGCCCCGCCCCCCCUGCUCCCCGGAAGAGCCUCGCCCAGAUCUAGCUGCACCCUGGGAAGCCCCAGGCGGUCACACACAGGCUCGACACCUGCUUGUUGAUUGCUUAAAAGGUGCGAACUGAUCUAGAAGAAUCCGUCCGCGGCGUCUGCGCAGAGAAGGCACAUCCAAGGCCAGCAGCUCUGGUAUUCCCAAGAAAGAGACCUGAUUUGUCUGUCUCGGCCCGGGACUCUCGCCUCUCCCUCCCGCCCCACCGGCUGGAUUGCCUAGUUAUGGCGCUGCUCAGCUGGAACUCCCUCCCGGCUGGCCUGCCACCAGGAACUUCCAUGGACUUUCCUGGGCAGCAGCAGCCACUCUGAUCCGCCCUAGUCGGCUCCCCCUUCCCGACGUCCUCCUCUCCGUUCAUGGCACCCCCCCCCCCACCAGCUCAGACCACCCGAAGGCUCUCAGACUCCUCCCCCUCCCCACCCCACAGAUCUGAUUCGAUCUCAUCAGUCACCAAGUUCUGCCCUUCCUUUCGACGUCUCUCCAAUUUCAGCUUCCCUUCGAUCCCCCUCACACACCCGAGGCCCUCCGCGCUUCACGCCUGGCUUAUUGCAAUCCCUUCCAGCAUCUCCCCCGUCUAAUUAGUCUGCCUGAUUAGUCAUCUGAAGGCUGAGCAGCAACAGCUCUUUGUACCCUUUCCCUCUGCUCCAUCCGGGGGGCUGGAGGGAGAGGAAAGAGGAGGAGGGGAAGAGGUGGAAGAGAUGGGACAGAGAGAAGAGGAGAGGAAGGGAGAAAGAACAGGAGAGAGACAGAUGGAGAAAGAGACAGAGAAAGAAAGACAGAGACAAAGAAACAGAGGGAGACAGGGAACGAGACAGAGAUAGGGAGAAAGAGAGCGAUGGAGAGAGAAAGAGAGACAGAGAGAAAAGGAGAGGAAGAGAGAAGGAACAGGAGAGAGACAGGGAAAGAGACAGAGAUAGGGAGAAAGACAGAGAGAGAGAAGAGGAGAAGAAGGGAGAAGGAACAGGAGAGAGACAGAUGGAGAAAGAGACAGAGAAAGACGGAGACAGACAAAAAGACACAGAGAGAGACAGACAGAGACAGGGAGAAAGGGAGAGAGAGAGUCAAAGAGACAGACAGAGAGAGGAGAGAGGACAAAAGCAGAGUGCUAAGGUUAGGAAGACCUGGGCUCUACUCCCUCAUUUUAUAGCUGAAGAAACUGAGGCCCCUAGACUAUAGAAUUUGGACAUGGCAGGGAUAAGCUUUGCAAUUAGACCCAACUUCUCUGGCUUCUGAGCUCUUUCUGCGGCACCUUGACAGCAUUCUCCUGGGUUGGAAUCUGGGCUGGUAGAGGAAGUCCCCCCCAUCAGGAGUUCCUGGCUCCUUCACAUGUAAAUGUACAUAUAUCUGUUACAAUACACAUAUAAAACAUGCUUGUCUGUGUGGAUUGUGCACACACGUGCACUAUAGUCUCUUGUGUGUAAACAUUCUACACAGACACACAUGUGUGACAUACACACACACAUGCAUUUAUGUAUAAACUCCUUCCUAAGAAAUAGCCGGGGUGCAGGGGAUGAAAAGCUUCCUGGAGUGACAGAACACUUGGGUCCAAGUCCCGUGCCCAAUCAAUCCUGGCUCACCCAGGGCCACAAGGGUCUCAAAGACUUGAAGUUGCCAAGUAGGGGCAGUUCUGCAUUGUUAGAGGGAGUUUCCACACCAGGAGGCCCUUCUAUGGAGGUCUGAUAAUAAAACCGAACCUCAACCCGCCCGACA
ensembl:lncRNA